AUCUUCCUGGUGUUGGCGUUGGUGAAGUGAUACAUGCGAAGAUGAACAGUUCUCAAGCUGAAGAACUGAUCAUAACUGGGGAGAGCUCUCUGCAACUCCUUAUCGUCGAUAAACCCGGCGACUUGAAAGCACGCGACGACUUUAGGAUCCGUCCCUGGAGGCAAAGACGAGGGUAUUAGUGAGGCGAACAGGUUUCCAUAUGGAGCCGAAGGUGGGUAUGAAGGAGCGGCGCCGUAAC
rnacentral:misc_RNA from 1 species